rnacentral:rRNA from 1 species
UUGACCUCAAAUCAGGUAGGACUACCCGCUGAACUUAAGCAUAUCAAUAAGCGGAGGAAAAGAAACUAACAAGGAUUCCCCUAGUAACUGCGAGUGAAGCGGGAAAAGCUCAAAUUUUGAAUCUGGCAGUCUUAAUUGAUUGUCCGAAUUGUAAUCU